GGUCAGGCAGCAUCUCUGGAGAAAAGGAAUAGGUGAUGUUUCGGGUCGAGACCCUUCUUCAGACUGAGAGUCAGCGGAAAGGGGAACAAGAGACAUAGACGGUACUUAGGACAAAUAAAUAGAAGAUAUG